rnacentral:rRNA from 1 species
UGAGGAAUAUUGCGCAAUGGGGGCAACCCUGACGCAGCGACGCCGCGUGAGUGAGGAAGGCCUUCGGGUCGUAAAGCUCUGUCAAAGGGACAGAAGUGCAUGGUGGCUAAUACCUGCCAUGUUUGACGGUACCCUUAAAGGAAGCACCGGCUAACUCCGUGCCAGCAGCCGCGGUAAUACGGAGGGUGCAAGCGUUGUUCGGAAUCACUGGGAGUAAAGGGCGCGUAGGCGGUGUGAUAAGUCAGAUGUGAAAGCCCACGGCUUAACUGUGGAAGUGCAUUUGAAACUGUCAGACUGGAGUAUCAGAGGGGAAAGUGGAAUUCCCGGUGUAGAGGUGAAAUUCGUAGAUAUCGGGAGGAAGACCGGUGGCGAAGGCGACUUUCUGGCUGAAUACUGACGCUGAGGCGCGAAAGCGUGGGGAGCAAACA